rnacentral:rRNA from 1 species
AGAGUUUGAUCAGUGGCUCAGAACGAACGCUGGCGGCAGGCUUAACACAUGCAAGUCGAACGGUUGUAGCAAUACAGCAGUGGCGCACGGGUGAGUAACGCGUGGAUAUCUGCCUUUGGUUCGGAAUAACUCCGGGAAACUGGAGCUAAUACCGGAUGGUUCCUACGGGAUAAAGAUUUAUCGCCAAAAGAUGAGUCCGCGUACGAUUAGCUAGUUGGUGAGGUAAUGGCUCACCAAGGCGACGAUCGUUAGCUGGUCUGAGAGGACGAUCAGCCACACUGGGACUGAGACACGGCCCAGACUCCUACGGGAGGCAGCAGUGGGGAAUAUUGGACAAUGGGGGCAACCCUGAUCCAGCCAUGCCGCGUGAGUGAUGAAGGCCUUCGGGUUGUAAAGCUCUUUUGGCGGGGACGAUGAUGACGGUACCCGCAGAAUAAGCCCCGGCUAACUUCGUG